GAGUGCGUCCCCCACCUGGUGGCCUUCAAACCAAAACUACCACACACACUGAGGACCAAACAAAAUCUGCUGUGGGUCUCAUGAGGCCAUUAGGCCACCAUUUUGCUACCUCUGGAAAGAGACUCUAGAACCAGGACACAGCCUCAAUGGGAACCCAUACAUGAGUAGGCAGGGACGGGGGAGAUGGUUGAGGCAGGCAGGUUUUCUGAAGAGGAACUAAGUCAUCAACAAGAGGAGAGACAUCAUUUUGUAUGUAGACCAGGCAGAAGUUCUAGGGAAAUGUGGGUUUGUCCUCAAAACAAGUUAAGAAUGGUUAUGGUGUGCUGGAGAAAAGGCUUGGCUGUUAAAGAGUAGGUACUGCUCUUACAGAGGACUCAGGUUCAGUUCCCAGAACCCACAUCUCAGACUCACAAACACCUGUAACCAGUUCUGGAGGAACAGACUCUGGCCUCCCAGGACACCUGCACACACACACAGGAAAAGAAUGGUGGCGCCUCCUCCACAGGCUGGCCUCCCAUGCUCGCCUUCUCCUGUGUCAACAUUCCCUGACCCAGAACUCUAUAAAGGUUGUAGCACCCCACACAGGAGAGCAGGGGAUUGUGGUCCCUGACUGAAACAACACUCUUCAAGCAAACCAAGGCCAAAUUUCACAACACAAACCAGUUUGUUUAGACUGGUAGCCAACCUGGGAAGGGGGGCCUGGUAGAAGAGCCUUGUGGGGUGCUUGGUUUGUUUGGAAGUGAUCUCAUUGUGUAUGUAGGCCAGGCUGACCUCAAACUCAGACCUCUUCCCUCCAUUGCCUCCUGAGUGUCCAGUAGAGCAGAUGUAGUGGCACACGCCUUUAAUCCUGGUUUGUGAGGCAGAGGAAGGCACAUCUCUGAUUUUGAGACCUGCCAGGUCUACAGAUCAAGUUCCAAGACAGCCAGGGCUACAAAGAGAAGCCCUGGCUUGAAAACAGAUUUAAAAAGAAGAAGGCAUGUUAGGUCUGUGGUGCUGUCCUAAUUCCUGCAGCCAGCAGAUUCAGGCAAGACCAGUCUAUACAGUUCCAGGCCAGCCAAGGAGGCCCUGUCUCAAAAGCAAAAGAAGAAAAAAGGUAUUUGAGGAAUGUGUGUUUUAACACACACCGAGUCUCUAAAACAAGUUUUUCCUUCGUCAGAAAAGUCUUGAGUUGCCGAAAGUGCUGAUAAAAUUCUUAAAAAAAAAAAAAAAAAGGUCAAAGUGACAGCCUCUCCAGAUAGUGGUGGCAAAUCCUUUAAUCCCAGUGUUCAGGAGACAAAGGCAGGCAGAUCUAUGUGAGUUUGAAGCUAGCCUGGUCUGCAUAGCACAGGCUACCCAGGACAGUCAGUGCUACACAGAGAAAGCCUGUCUUGGGGGUGGGGAAGGAGGACAGAAAAAAAAAAUGUGAUGGCCUCCUCUUCUCUUACUUUCUCUUACCCAAACAACCAGUCAGGCCUCAGGCUAGGAGUGUGACUUAAUGUAGAACCCCUGCCUAGGGUCCUCCAGUGAGGAGCUGAAGGCAUGGCCGUACAGUUUGAACUGCUUGUACAAGGUCUUCACUUCAGCAGGCCCACAUUAAGAUAUGGGGAAGUGGGUAACAUAACUGUCAAGUUCAUGGCUCUGGAGGCGCUUGGGGGGUAUUAUUAUUUAUUGGUUUUUGUUUUUCGAGAAAGGAGAAAGGGUUUCUCUCUGGCCUGGCUAUUCUAGAAUUUGAUCUGUAAACCAAGCUGGCCUCAAACUUAGAAAUCCUCUGCCUCCCAAGUGCUGUGAUUAAAGGUAUGUGCCACCACCACUUGCAAUUACUUCUUUUCUAAGAAAAGAAAAUUAAAAUAUAAGCUGAUGCUGACCAGGCACCAGCUCUCCCUCCAGUGGAGCCAGCUCUAGGCGUAUCUAUGAAAGGCCAGCUUCGCUCUCCUUCCCAGGAGCUGCGGUAGGCUGUAGAGAUGGUCACCCCAUCUCAGACUAGCAGGCGUAUUUCCUCCACAAGGGUAUGUGUAAGGCAUGGUUUGAGGACACCAGCCCCACCGGGGACGGGGGCUGUGGAAGGGACAGUGGCGUGGCCAGAAGCAGCACAUGACUCCUGUCAGUCACAGUCAGCUCAAGGUGGAAGACCAUCAUGCUGAGAGUCUCCUGCGUAGUCUUUUGUUUGCCAUUGUGGUUUUUUUUUUUUUUUUUUUUUUUUUGCCUGUGUGCCAAGAUGCACGUGGAGGUCAGAGGACUCCAGGAGAUCCAAUGCUGGCCCUCAGGCCUGGAAGCCAGCAUCUUUAAUAGCCAGCCCCCCUGCAGAGCCCAGAAGACUUUAAUGAGGAGUCAGGUCUCACGCUGAAUAAAGGGAAACUGAGCUGGGCUUGGUGCUGCUGGCUUGUAGUUACACUUGGAGGGAUGAGAUCUUGUCUUAAAGGAACAGAAGAAUGAGACCUGUGAGGACCUAGUCUCCCUAGGUCUUUGUUCUAGGGUUUUGAUUAGAACAGCAAGGCUGGUUAGGAAUCCUGAAGUCUGGAGCUGGGGAGCUGAGGAGAUUGAGCCCAGGGUUUUCUUCUCAGUGCUGCUCUCAAGGGGUGCUCGAACACAGGUUAUUGACGGAGCCCCGGGUGCCUACACCACCUCACUUCUGGUGGGGUCUCUAAACACCUGUUGGUCAUCUGGCCUUAAUCCAGGCUGUGCUCUGUGGGCCAGGCCUGGCUUUGCUCCUUGUUACUCGUGGCCAUUGCUACAUGGACAGAACGACCCAGUUUGUUUACACAUAACACACAUUUGUGAUCUUGUUUACUCGCCCAUGCGGGACCGUACAAUUUCCAUGGCAGGACCCCAUUUUCUUUUGAGACAGUCGAAUGCAGUCGGAACUCUCUGUAGCAGAGGACAACCUUAAACUAAUCCUCCUGCCUUCAUUCCUCAAGUGCUGGGAUUAGAAGCGUGCACAACCAUGUCUGGUCAUGUGGUGCUCACAUUGAACUAAGUCCUCCCUGAUCCUGUUUUGUGUGGUCAGAAGGCAACUUCUGAGACUCCCAAUGUUUCAGGAACUCUGACUCAGGUCACUUCACACUUGGGCAGCAAGUUCUCUUUUUUUUUUUUUUUUUUUUUGGGUUCUUUUUUUCGGAGCUGGGGACCGAACCCAGGGCCUUGUGCUUCCUAGGUAAGCGCUCUACCACUGAGCUAAAUCCCCAGCCCGCAAGUUCUCUUUCGUUCUGCUGAGUUACCUCACUGCAUGCUCUCUGCCUUUGCCUGUCAUUUGAGUUUGGGUUUCUCCGGGUACCUCUCUCUGGCUACCCUGGAACUCUCUCUGUAGACCAGUCCAGCCUGGAACUCAGAGAUUUCCCCUCCCUCUGCCUCCUGUGCCACUGUGGUGCUCUCCUCUGCUACUUUGUGGGCUCUUCCUUUAACCUUUCUCCAUCCUUUCUCUUCCACCUUUUCAUCCCCUUAGCACGAUAGGAGAGAUAAAAGGAUAGAAAAGGAAAAAGAUCCCCAAAUACAGUUAUAGGUCGUAAAGGGAUUAGCAUGACAUCUUUAGAGUACUUCCUGCUCAUUAGGCACAGGUUAAGUUCCUUGGGGCAGGUUUGAUCUUUGCUAUCAGGAAAUCUAACCUCUUUGCUCUUUGCAUAGGACUACUUUACAGACUGCAACCAACAACCCACUCUGCCUCUCUGGGUUCUAGCAUUUACAGACCCUCUGAAAAGUCACCAGAGUUCCAAACAUCACACAAUCACAGAAACUAUGUGCACAUGGCAAAACCGUGCCCCUGCUAGAGUAGGAAGCGGAUCCUAGUCAGCUGCUGUGAACAGUCUGAAGCAGCCCCACAUCCCACACCUGGGUUUAGAACAAACACAUAGUCUUAUAGUAGUGUUAAAAAGAAACAAAACAAAACUCCAGAAUUGUAACUACACCAUCACACCUGGUUUCCCUUGCUUUCUUAACAAUUUAUUCAUGUAUAUAUCAAUGUCUUCAGACACACCAGAAGAUGGCAUUUGAUCCGAUUACAAAUGGUUGUGAGCCACCAUGUGGUUGCUGGGAAUUGAACUCAGGACCUCUUGCAAGAGCAGUCAGUGUUCUGAACUGCUGAGCCAUCUCUCCAGCCCCUUACCUUGCUUUCUUUAAAUGUUUCCUUUAUGUUUGUGGGUGUUUUGCCUGUAUGUAUGUCUGUAUGUGCUUGGUACCUGUAGAGGCCAAAGAGGGCAUCUGGUCCGUUGGAACCAGAACUGUACGUAUUUGUGAAGCUGCCACGUGGGCACUGGGACUCCAACUCUGAUCCUCUGGAAGAGCAGUCAGUGCUCUUAACUGCUGAGCUGUCUCUCCAGCUCCUCCCUUUUUUUGAGACAGUCUCUCAAAUGUAUAGCCCUGGCCGUCCACAAACUUGCAAGGAUUAUAAAAAUCACUAGUGGGUCUGAAGGUGUUGGUACAUGCUUUUUAAUUCCAGCACUUGGGAGGCAGAAGCAGGUGGAUCUCUGUGAGUUCAAGGCCAGCCUGGUCUACAGAGCAAGUUCUAGGACAGCCAGAAUUAACUCCAUUUGCAGCCAUCCUGCUCUCCUAGCCUUGGGCUCUGCCUGAAUUAGUAACUAUUGGUGCUGUUGAGACACUCACUCUCGUGUAGUCCAGGCUGGCUUCACUCUCACUGGCUUGCUGAGGAUGACCUGAACUACUGACCCUUUUCCCUUGCCUUUUAAUUAAUGCAGAGUGCCACUACUCCUAGAUUCUCCCCAAGUCAGCUGCUCAAUCAGGUUUGGAGCUCACUUUGCAGUGCAAGCAGACUCUGAAUUUAUGAGCACAUGUGCCAGAGGACGUGUGGGGGGCCCAGGGACCACUUUGUAAGGGUUGGUUUGCUCCUCCCACCAUGUGGUGUAGGGAGAGCAAACCCAGGUUGUCAGGUUUGAUGGCAGACAAGGACUUUUCCCAGCUGAGCCCUCUUGCUGCUCACCUCCCGGUUUACCUUUUUUUUUUUUUUUGGUUCUUUUUUUUUUCGGAGCUGGGACCGAACCCAGGUCCUUGCGCUUCCUAGGCAAGCACUCUACCACUGAGCUAAAUCCCCAACCCCCCCCCCUUUUUUAAAUCAAUUAUAAAACAUGAGGUUUUAAAAAGCCAGCCUACAGCUCAGGACAUUGCUCCAGUUGACUGGCAUCAUAGCUUGUGGUGUGCUGACAGGGGCCUGAUAUAAUUUGGUCAAAGUAGUGUAUGAAUCAGCCAGGAAGAUGUUUACUAGUUUAAAAGGCGGCGGGAGAGAACUUCUAGCAUGCAAGAGGCUAUAAAUUCAAACCUCAGUACCCUAUAUAUAGCUCGAGAGCCAAGUGUGGUAGUGCACACGCUAAUAAAGGUGAAGACAGGAGGGUAGGAGUUCGAGGUCGACCUGGGUACAUAAGCUAGGUUUUGAGUAGACACAACGCCACUAACACUGAGCUCAGGUAAUCUAAGGCUGAAUAACAGCACAGGUAAGAAACAAACUGAAGCAAGAAAUACCACUGUACAGCCCUUUCAGAUCAAGAACGUGAUCUGGAAGAAGCAAUUGCUGGAAGGCACAAGGGACAGUGGGCAGAGCCUGGACAAAUAGGCUCGCAGCUACGCCUGGCCUCUAGGUCACGCCCAGGCAGCGAGCGGCCCGCUGGAAGUUGUAGUCUUUUAGCUACCUUGCCACGUCACCGCCUCCAAGACGCAAGAACUCCUGGGUUCCUACAUCUACCCCUCAGUCUGGUGGUAGGUUCCGUCGCACCACCCAUUAUCCUGUCUACCGCCUUCUGUCCCUCCAGCGGUGAGGACUUGGUAUUGUCUCACCAGCCCGAACUCUGAAAAACAGUUUCUUGUCAUUUCCAACUCUAAAAUCCUCCCUCUCCGACCUUCUUGGUUCGCUCCAGCCACACCCCCUACAGUCCUCGAUCCCGGUUUGUCAGCGCUGGCUCCCCAGCUCCAUAGUCUGUUGGUUAGCGCCGGCUCCUCCUCUCCCCGGCGUUGGUCCCGGCUCUCCCUCUUCUUCCACGUUGGUAGGCGCCAGCCCCCCCCGCAUCCCCCCCUGCUUCGCGUUGGUUGGCGCCGGGCUCCCCUGUUCCCUGCAGUGGUUCGGCCGCGGCGACCCCUCAGCGGCGCGUCCCCCGCCGCGGUCCCGCUCCGCUUCUCCCCGAAGCCGCGCGCCCGCGCCUGUCGGUCGGCGGACCCGCAGCUCCCCGUGAGGCCCACGGCCUCCUGCUCGCCAUGGUCCGCCCGCGCCGUGCCCCGCACCGCUCCGGCGCCGGGGGCCCCCUCGGAGGUCGUGGCCGGCCACCGCGGCCCCUGGUCGUCCGCGCCGUGCGCUCACGCUCCUGGCCUGCUGGCCCUCGAGGCCCGCAGCCGCCGCGGAUCCGGGCCCGUUCGGCCCCUCCCAUGGAAGGUGCUCGAGUCUUUGGGGCCCUGGGGCCGAUCGGGCCCUCCUCUCCUGGGCUGACUCUUGGGGGACUCGCAGUGAAUGAGCACCGGCUCAGCAACAAACUGCUGGCCUGGAGUGGCGUGCUGGAGUGGCAGGAGAAGCGUAGACCCUUCUCGGACUCCGCCGCAAAGCUGAAGCGCACCCUGCCCUGCCAGGCCUAUGUGAACCAGGGCGAGAACCUGGAGACGGACCAGUGGCCCCAGAAGCUGAUCAUGCAGCUCAUCCCACAACAGCUGCUGACCACACUGGGCCCCCUGUUCCGAAACUCUCAGCUGGCCCAGUUCCACUUCACCAACAGAGACUGUGACUCCCUCAAGGGCCUCUGCCGCAUCAUGGGCAAUGGCUUCGCGGGCUGCAUGCUCUUCCCCCACAUUUCUCCUUGCGAGGUGCGUGUGCUCAUGCUCCUGUACUCGUCUAAGAAGAAGAUCUUCAUGGGCCUCAUCCCCUACGACCAGAGUGGCUUCGUCAAUGCCAUACGGCAGGUCAUCACCACCCGCAAGCAGGCUGUGGGCCCUGGAGGGGUGCACUCUGGACCUGUUCAGAUUGUCAACAACAAAUUCUUGGCAUGGAGUGGAGUCAUGGAGUGGCAAGAGCCCAGGCCUGAGCCCAACAGCCGGUCCAAGCGGUGGCUGCCAUCCCACGUCUAUGUGAACCAAGGAGAGAUCCUGAGAACGGAUCAGUGGCCUCGGAGGCUCUUCAUGCAGCUCAUUCCACAGCAGUUGCUGACCACCCUCGUGCCACUGUUCCGGAACUCACGCCUGGUACAGUUCCACUUCACUAAGGACAUGGAGACUCUGAAGAGCCUGUGCCGGAUCAUGGACAAUGGCUUCGCGGGCUGCGUGCACUUCUCCUAUAAGGCCUCGUGCGAGGUUCGCGUGCUCAUGCUCCUGUACUCCUCGGAGAAGAAGAUCUUCAUUGGCCUCAUCCCGCAUGACCAGAGCAACUUUGUCAAUGGUAUCCGUCGUGUCAUUGCCAACCAGCAGCAGGUCCUGCAGCGAAGCCUGGAGCAGGAGCAGCAGCAGCGAGGGAUGGGUGGCUAGUGGACUCCUAGGCUGGGCAGGUCACAGUCCCAGACGAGGCCCCAGUGGAGACUGGUCAGAUGCUUCUGAGCAGGGGCUCCUGGGGACUGUACCUGCCCAGCAACCUGGAGGACAGCGUCCUGAGGUCUCCCAAGGAUGGUCCUUGCCCCUGUAUGUUUCCCUAAUAAAGCCUUUUAACCCACA